CGCCGGGGCAGCGCAGCAGCGCAGCGCCGGUGUUCCCUUCGGAACACCGCGCAAAGUGAUCGAGUGCUUUUCCUCCACUUUCCCUCACUUCGCGCCCCACCCGGCUGUCCCGACCACCCUCAGGAUGUUUUCCUCUGGUGUGCCUCUGGGCCAAAUCGUGCUAAAAAUCAUUUUUUUUCUUUUAUGCAAGGACACUUUGUCACUUGGUUUCCGUCAGUCUCCUGAGAAUGGGGAAUUUAGGUCUAGCGUGGUUCACAGUUCUGGUUUUUUAGGAGUUAUACUUGAAAGCUCAAUGUCGGACACAUAGCAUGAAAUCCGUCACUGGUGCUUUGCAUUUGUCUUGGAAAGGACAUACGCCCCGCCUGUCCCUUUUACUAACUAGGGAGACUGUGAAUAUUCCCAAGCCCAGCACCACGUGCACACGCCGCCAGCUGGCUCGCGCGUUUUCCACGGAGCCCUCUGGAGGGGAGGGAGCGCGGUUCGGACUAGCCUCUCCCGAACACCAAGUGCCGCUCUUAGCCCCGUCCAGCCCGCCCUGUUCAUCGGGGGCCUCGCCGCGCCAGUCGCCCCGGCUGCCUUAUGUAGGUAUGCGCGGCGGGCGCGUGACGUGGGCGCGGGGCCGUGGGCGGCCGCCGCCGCGAGUGCGCACGCUCCGCGCAGACGUGCCUCGGCGCCGCUGGCACUAGGGCCUCGUGGAACGAAUGCACAUUCCAGGGAUCCGGGGUCUACGGCCAGCGCGGCCGCGUCACAGCGCAGGCUCCACCCCCUUCGGCGAGUCUGGGCGUCGAGGCGCCGCCCCCGGGCCCGAACUUGGACUCGAG
rnacentral:lncRNA from 1 species